rnacentral:rRNA from 1 species
GGUGAACGUUGGCGGUGCGUCUAAUACAUGCAAGUCGAGCGAGGCUUCGAGCCGAGCGGCAGACGGCUGAGUCACACGUUAGUAACUACCUCAAACUCAGGGUUAACGCCGAGAAAUCGGUUCUAAUACCGGAUGGUCCCGUAAGGGUAAAGUUUUUACGGUUUGAGAGGUGCCUGCGUCCUAUCAGGUAGUUGGUGAGGUAACGGCUCACCAAGCCUAUGACGGGUAACUGGUCUGAGUGGAUGACGAGUCAGAGGGAAACUGAGACACGGGUCCCACUUAUACGGAAGGGAGCAGAAAAGAAACAUAAAAAAUGGACGAAAGUGUGAUGGAGCGACAGAGCGUGAAGGAGGAAGGCGCUUGGGUAGUAAACUGCUUUUUUGGGGGAAAAAUACUGAUUGUACCCAAAGAAUAAGCACCGGCAAAUCACGUG